UUUCCGUAGGUGAACCUGCGGAAGGAUCAUUAUUGAAUCUUAGGAUGCUCUCUUUAGAGGUCCGAAUAAUUCAUUAUUCACCCUGUGAACAAACAUCUUUUUAACACCCCUUUUAUAAACACUAUGUAAUAUGAAUGUCUAAUACUCUUGAUUGAGUUUAAAUUGUAAAACUUUCGGCAACGGAUCUCUUGGCUCCCGCAUCGAUGAAGAACGCAGC
rnacentral:misc_RNA from 1 species